UGCGGGGUGGUGUAAUGGUAGUCACAGGCGCCUUUGAAGCGUCUAGUGCAGGUUCGACUCCUGCCCCCGCAG
rnacentral:tRNA from 1 species